AGAUACCCGGGUAGUCCUAGCCGUAAACGAUACUCGCUAGGUGUCGGCCACGGUGCGACCGUUGUCGGUGCCGUAGGGAAGCCGUGAAGCGAGCCACCUGGGAAGUACGGCCGCAAGGCUGAAACUUAAAGGAAUUGGCGGGGGAGCACAACAACGGGUGGAGCUUGCGGUUUAAUUGGAUUCAACGCCGGAAAUCUUACCGGGACCGACAGCAACAUGAAGGCCAAGCUGAAGACUUUGCCGGAUUAGCUG
rnacentral:rRNA from 1 species